GCGGUUAUACGUUAUUUAAAUAUAUUUUUUUUAGAAGGUGUAUGAUUAUAUAUUUAUAGAAUAUUUAAUUAAAGAGGUGAAAUUCUUGAUUUAUAAUAUAUAAUAUUAUAUUUUACAAUGAGCUAAGAAAUAAACUAGGAUUAGAUACCCUAUUAUUCUUAUGAAUAAUAGGUUUCUGAAGUAGUAAAUUUGAAACUUAAAAUUUUGACAGUAUUUAAUUAUUCUAGAGGAAUAUGUGAUUUAAUCGAUAACACCCGAAGAUUUCACUUAUUUUUUUUUUGUAUAUCUCCGUUGCCAGAUAUUAUUUGAAGUUAAUGUAAUUUUCUUAAGAUUUUAGAUAGAACAUCAGGUCAAGGUGCAAAAUAGAUAAGUUAUUAUGUAUUACAUUCAAGUAUAUUGAUAAUGGAUUUAAUAUUGAAAUAUUUUUUGAAACUGAAUCUAUAAGUGAAGUGAAUUAAAGUUUUUGCUUGAAAUAAUAUUAAAUAUG
rnacentral:rRNA from 1 species